AAAAAAGAUUAAAUUAUUGUGCUCUCUUUUCCAAGUAUCUUCCAUUCAAUUGAUUCCACAAUGACUAUUUUCUUUUUCAACUCAUAAGUAGGAAUUCUUGGUUAUUCACUUCAAUUUGCUUGUUGGGACUUCUUGGAUCGUGUGUUUGUAGACUUUGCUUGUGGUAGGUUGCUGGUAAUCCGAGCAUCUUUGACGCUUUUUGGGACUUCAAUUCUAGGAAGGAAGCAGUUGAUAGGCUCUUGUUGCAGCAAUUUCGAGUUACGUGUAUAGUUUUUUUGCUGGAAAUUUUGCUAGAUUUUUAUUAUUGUUGAGAAGCCAGUCUUGAAAAAUGUACCCAAGGAGCGAACUCACUUCAUAGUUUGAGUGGGCACAAUUUGAGGGUCUUCCCUCAUUUCGAGCUGUAAUUGUGUGGAUGGAUUGGUUACGGGUAUUCGCUAUCAAGUUUCCUGCCCUCUCUUCACCUUUGCUUGAGCUCCGAUUCCACAUCUUGCAUUUGUUUUACGAUUUUUUCCGUCUCUGG